CAAUGGAUUUUAUUUUAUUGUAUUAUUUAUAUAGGGUAUUUAUACAGAAACAGACUUUUAAAUUUGAAAAAUAUUCACUACAGUAUAAACCAGCUUGAGUCUGCCUGAGAGUUGAAUAAAAGGCCACUAAAGUACAACAAAUCUGUUGAGACAAAUGCCUGACAUGAAAGAAGUAACAUUUUUAGACUUUCACACCAGUUUUCUUUCACAAAAGUUUAAGAACUUGUCUCUAUGUAGAACAGUGUAACAUCUUGUAUUGCAACCAAAAUAAAUGGUGCAUGAGAACUGGAUUGAUUUCUAAAUGCAGGCAGUAGCUCUAAGCUCUUUUUUGUUCAUGGCCACACAAUAAUUAUUUCACUGAAAGAAUGAUGUUUUCAAUGCAUCUGGCUCUUGUUUUGUUGGCCAUAUGUUUAAUACCACAAAUUAGCUUUUCGUAUGAGCUUCAAGAUACAAUUCACACUCUGAGAGAGGAGAACGUGUACCUAUAUCACAGACUGAGAAAGCUCACACAGACUCUGCGAGAGCUGAGAAAACUUCUGGAUCACUCACAUGAGUCUGCUGCGGAUCAUGAUAGUGACAAAUUGCAUGCCUGGAAUGAAUGGAUUAAGAAUGGUAUCAGCACAGAGAUUCGUCUCAUGUUAGAACAAGCUUUCUGCUUGCCAGAUCUUCAUGCCAAGGCUGAUUUAUAUUUCCUAGAAGAAAUUCUUCUUGUUCUGUCAAGUCUCAUUUGGAUUGGGAUUCUUCUCAUGUAAAUAUGGUCAUAAUAUCCUAACCUAACCUUCUUUUUUAACCUUUUUGUUGACUCCUUAUAUUCAUCAGAAAAGCUCAUGCUAAUGGAUUGCUAACAUUAGUUAACUACAA